rnacentral:rRNA from 1 species
GACUAGAACGUUGAUAGGCAGGGUGUGUAAGCGUUGUGAGGCGUUGAGCUAACCUGUACUAUUGCCCGUGAGGCUUAACCAUACAACACCCAAGGGGUUUUGUA